AUGAAGUGCAAGACAUGUGCUCACAAAGUAAAUGCAAAAAUUGCAUUACAUGGUGUGGUCUAUCAUUCAUACCUGCAUCUCAACUCUCACAAGAAUGUUGAAGGUCGUCAGGAGGUCGUCGACCCGAAAGACCUAGGACCACUGAUUGACAGGGCAUGUGCCAAGUGCCGUCACGAUGAACUUCAUUGCCACACCAG